rnacentral:tRNA from 1 species
GCGGAUGUGGCCUAGCGGUAGGGCAUCGGCUUCCCAAGCCGAGGAUCGCGGGUUCGAAUCCCGUCAUCCGCUCCA